UGGGGAAUAUUGUACAAUGGGCGCAAGCCUGAUGCAGCCAUGCCGCGUGUGUGAAGAAGGCCUUCGGGUUGUAAAGCACUUUCAGCGAGGAGGAAGGUGGUGAGCUUAAUACGCUCAUCAAUUGACGUUACUCGCAGAAGAAGCACCGGCUAACUCCGUGCCAGCAGCCGCGGUAAUACGGAGGGUGCAAGCGUUAAUCGGAAUUACUGGGCGUAAAGCGCACGCAGGCGGUUUGUUAAGUCAGAUGUGAAAUCCCCGGGCUCAACCUGGGAACUGCAUUUGAAACUGGCAAGCUAGAGUCUCGUAGAGGGGGGUAGAAUUCCAGGUGUAGCGGUGAAAUGCGUAGAGAUCUGGAGGAAUACCGGUGGCGAAGGCGGCCCCCUGGACGAAGACUGACGCUCAGGUGCGAAAGCGUGGGGAGCAAACAGGGUUAGAUACCCUGGUAGUCCACGCUGUAAACGAUGUCGUUUUGGAGGUUGUGCCCUUGAGGCGUGGCUUCCGGAGCUAACGCGUUAAAUCGACCGCCUGGGGAGUACGGCCGCAAGGUUAAAACUCAAAUGAAUUG
rnacentral:rRNA from 1 species